ACCCGCACAAGCGGUGGAUGAUGUGGUUUAAUUCGAUGCAACGCGAAAAACCUUACCCACCUUUGACAUGUACGGAAUCCUUUAGAGAUAGAGGAGUGCUCGAAAGAGAACCGUAACACAGGUGCUGCAUGGCUGUCGUCAGCUCGUGUCGUGAGAUGUUGGGUUAAGUCCCGCAACGAGCGCAACCCUUGUCAUUAGUUGCUACAUUCAGUUGGGCACUCUAAUGAGACUGCCGGUGACAAACCGGAGGAAGGUGGGGAUGACGUCAAGUCCUCAUGGCCCUUAUAGGUGGGGCUACACACGUCAUACGAUGGAUGGUACAAAGGGUCGCCAACCCGCGAGGGGGAGCCAAUCCCAUAAAACCAUUCGUAGUCCGGAUCGCAGUCUGCAACUCGACUGCGUGAAGUCGGAAUCGCUAGUAAUCGUGGAUCAGAAUGUCACGGUGAAUACGUUCCCGGGUCUU
rnacentral:rRNA from 1 species